rnacentral:rRNA from 1 species
CCUACGGGUGGCAGCAGUGGGGAAUAUUGGACAAUGGGCGAAAGCCUGAUCCAGCAAUGCCGCGUGAGUGAUGAAGGCCUUAGGGUUGUAAAGCUCUUUUACCCGGGAUGAUAAUGACAGUACCGGGAGAAUAAGCCCCGGCUAACUCCGUGCCAGCAGCCGCGGUAAUACGGAGGGGGCUAGCGUUGUUCGGAAUUACUGGGCGUAAAGCGUACGUAGGCGGCUUUGUAAGUUAGAGGUGAAAGCCCAGGGCUCAACCCUGGAAUUGCCUUUAAGACUGCAUCGCUAGAACACGGGAGAGGUGAGUGGAAUUCCGAGUGUAGAGGUGAAAUUCGUAGAUAUUCGGAAGAACACCAGUGGCGAAGGCGACUCACUGGACCGUUGUUGACGCUGAGGUACGAAAGCGUGGGGAGCAAACAGGAUUAGAUACCCUUGUAGUC